rnacentral:misc_RNA from 1 species
GAGAGAGAGAGAGAGAGAAGAAGAGUCAAGGAAUUGAGAAAGAAAGGAAGAGAUGUACGGAUUCUCGGGCCUGAGCACAAAGGAUUUAGGGAAGGAGGUUGAUCUCGAAGCCGGAAAUGGAGAGACGUUGUACCCUGGUUUGGGUCUGGGGGAGAAUCAGCUGCGAUGGGGCUUGAUUCGUAAGGUCUAUGGCAUUCUCGCUGUCCAAUUGGUGCUUACCACCAUCGUUUCUGCCGUCACCGUCCUCUACACCCCUAUCAAUGCUCUCCUUGGUGACAGUCCUGGCCUCCUUCUACUCCUUUGCAUCGCGCCCUUCAUAUGUACGUUAGCAAUUCAGAUCUCGUAUUUCUCCUUGCACAAUUUUGAUCUGUGGAAUUGAAUUUGUUUUUGUCUAUUAUGUGAUCUGACGCUAGGCUAUAUAAAUUGUCCUUCUUUUUAUUUGGGGGAAUAAUUUGAUACUCAAUUUGAUGAUCAUGGCUUGAAUAAUUGAUAGAAUCUUUUUGAAAUUGUUAAAUUCAUUAACUUUCUUAUGUGGUUUUGGUAAAGGUGAUGAAAUGAUAGACUGGGUGACUCUUUAUAGCAUUGAUAUUUAUUAGGUUUUCUUUUUCUUAACAAUUUACUCUUUAUUGUUUUUGGAUGAUGUUUUCUUGGGUUUGAAGAUGGUGAUGACAUGAUAGAUAAGGUUAGCAUUGAUUAUGUAACAGGUUCGUUUUUCUUAGCAAUUUAUCACACAUAAGUGGUAACAUCAGAUUAAACCUGCAGCUUGUGUCUAUUAAAUCCCUUGUUUCCUUUCUCUUUGUUUUAAUUUUGUACAAUGACAAUCUUUCAUUUUUUUAUAAAUUCUAAUAGAUUAUGGGUUCUAGUUUAAAUUUGCUGAAAUUAUUGUGCUUUAUCUCUACAAUGAACUCAAAAAUUGCAGUGUUAUGGCCAUUGCACGUUUAUCACCAGAAGCACCCUGUCAACUUGAUUGUCCUUGGACUCUUCACUGUGUCGCUAAGCCUUUUGGUUGGUGUAAGCUGUGCUAAUACAGAUGGUCAGUAUCUUCUUUCUCCCAGUUUGGAAGUUCUGUCAUGUGUUGCAUUUUGACAUUUCCACGGACAGUUGCAAUUCUUUUUCAAACCCUAUCUGAUAACAUACAAAUCUUUUACUAUUAUGAUCUGAUUAUUCUUUUGUUCUGUUUGUUUUCAGGGAAAAUUGUGCUCGAAGCACUAAUUCUAACCUCGGCUGUGGUUUGCUCGCUAACUGGAUACACUUUCUGGGCUUCUAAGAAGGGGCAAGACUUCAGCUUUUUGGGACCAAUUUUAUUCACCAGCCUCAUCAUACUCAUCCUAACCAGUUUUAUGCAGAUGUUCUUCCCUCUUGGCUCAACAUCUACAGCUAUCUAUGGUGGAAUUAGUGCUCUGGUUUUCUGUGGGUAUAUUAUUUAUGACACUGACAACUUGAUCAAGCGUUUCUCAUAUGAUGAGUAUAUUUUGGCCUCUGCUGCUCUCUACCUGGACAUUCUCAAUCUGUUCCUAUCCAUUUUGCGGGUUCUGAGUCAAAGAAACAAUUAGUUUGUACAGGAUACUUUUAUCAGCCUGGUUGGCAUGCAAAUUACAUCUUCAUAAAAGCUAAUUCCAGUUAAGAUUGUGGAUAUUUGGUAUUGUGGUGAACGUACUCUUCUAUUAGUGACGAGUGUUGUUGAUUCAUGCAGAAUCCUAGUGACCUGCAUUUACCUCAAUCAACUCUGCUAUAGUAAAUUGAUUUGCUGUUAGAAUUGUUUUUAAUUCAUGGUUUGUUUAUCUGCUUUUUUUUUCCUUUAAUU